UACGUAGGGGGCAAGCGUUGUCCGGAUUUAUUGGGCGUAAAGAGCGUGUAGGCGGCUAUACAGGUCCGUUGUGAAAACUCGAGGCUCAACCUCGAGACGCCGAUGGAAACCGUAUGGCUAGAGUCCGGAAGAGGAGAGCGGAAUUCCUGGUGUAGCGGUAAAAUGCGCAGAUAUCAGGAAGAACACCCGUGGCGAAGGCGGCUCUCUGGGACGGUACUGACGCUGAGACGCGAAAGCCAGGGGAGCAAACGGG
rnacentral:rRNA from 1 species